GACUCUGGGUGGUGUAUGACUUGGCUCAUGUGUCUACUAAGAACACAACUAGCUGAGCUGUAGAAAAUACUGGGAAUGGCAGGACACAUUGAUAACUGACAGUUUGAAUGCACUAGUGGCCCUGGGUUCAUCUCAAGACUAUGCCUUUCUAAGUGUCA
ensembl:rRNA 5_8S_rRNA 5.8S ribosomal RNA